CCUACGGGCGGCUGCAGUGGGGAAUAUUGGACAAUGGGCGCAAGCCUGAUCCAGCCAUGCCGCGUGGAUGAUGAAGGCCCUAGGGUUGUAAAGUCCUUUCGGCGGGGAAGAUAAUGACGGUACCCGCAGAAGAAGCCCCGGCUAACUUCGUGCCAGCAGCCGCGGUAAUACGAAGGGGGCUAGCGUUGCUCGGAAUCACUGGGCGUAAAGCGCACGUAGGCGGAUUUCUAAGUCAGGGGUGAAAUCCCGGAGCUCAACUCCGGAACUGCCUUUGAUACUGGAGAUCUCGAGUUCGGGAGAGGUGAGUGGAACUGCGAGUGUAGAGGUGAAAUUCGUAGAUAUUCGCAAGAACACCAGUGGCGAAGGCGGCUCACUGGCCCGAUACUGACGCUGAGGUGCGAAAGCGUGGGGAGCAAACAGGAUUAGAUACCCCAGUAGUC
rnacentral:rRNA from 1 species